ensembl:lncRNA
CUUAAAAUUGAAGGGGAUGAUAAAGAUGUUCAGCCCUCAACGCUUCAGUGUGAGGAGAUAAACACAAGGGGAACCUGCAAAGUAUUAGACAGAUGGUUUUAAUCAUGCAGCUCAUUGGUGUAUGCCGCAGUUGCCUUGUCAUCUUGAGGUGAAAGAGGCUGAAUAAGUUUUCAAAGUAAUCUAUGUUCUUCUGUGCUUUUGUGAGAAGUUCAAAUGUGUUCUGAUACUACAGGAAGGUAGGGAAAUCGAACGACUAACUGCAAUAUCCAGAUGACAAAACUCAAAGACUAAAAGCCUCAAAAACAUCUUUUCUUCCUCCUGCCAAGUCUUUCCUUGACAAGAAAAGAAAGUCAGUGUUGCUGCCUUGCCAGCUCAGGUUCAUCUCUGCUUGUUAUGCGCAACCUUGAUCAAACUAUGAAAAUAAUUUAUAAGACUGGCAAUUCGAAGAGGCGAGAGCGCAGGCUUUUAUUUUCUCCUUCCCUGCCAAUCACGGCUUCUGAAGGAAUUCUCGCCGUUUGCUGUUCGGCUGGUGUCGAGUCAGGUCAUCUGUCAGUCUGCUGAGAUUCCUGAAGCCCGUUCACCGCAGAUGCUGACCGUUAAAGAAUAGCAUGCUGCCUGCACUGUAAGAAGACUAGUAUCUCUCGGGUAUAGUGAACUGAACAGUCUCUCAUGUCUAGUGUUCGUCUCCUCAACAAACCUCCACUCAGCCAACUGUCCAGACAACAGGAAGACAGAACUGGGUCAUGGCAAACCUGAGGCUUGAAGCUCUGGUUAUGUUACCUCCAGAGUCGGGACCUCAAGGCCUUGAACGGGAUCCAAACGUCAAAGUCUGGCUCCAUCAGCUGAGCUGCAGUGCUCCCUGCAGGCCUCAGUCGUACCUCACUGUGAAGGCAGAGACCAUGAAACCCACGCACCGUCCUCAGAGAGGCCUUGAAGGCAUCGAAUACCAACCAAAGUAGGAAGUAACCAUAACUACUUCAAAGCCAAGCGUUAUGGACCCUGCGCUGCCUCCGCUGAGUGAAUCUGUCACAGCACACAGCACCAUAGGAUGGGUCAGAGAACAGUUCACCAUGGCGACCGCCUCCAGGGUUCAAAAGAGCGG